rnacentral:rRNA from 1 species
UACGUAGGGGGCUAGCGUUGUCCGGAUUUAUUGGGCGUAAAGAGCGUGUAGGCGGCCAGGUAGGUCUGCUGUGAAACUCGAGGCUCAACCUCGAGACGUCGGCGGAAACCAUCUGGCUAGAGUCCGGAAGAGGAGAAUGGAAUUCCCGGUGUAGCGGUGAAAUGCGCAGAUAUCGGGAGGAACACCAAUGGCGAAGGCAGCUUGCUGGCAUAUUUCUGACGCUAAGGCACGAAAGCGUGGGGAGCGAACAGG